rnacentral:lncRNA from 10 species
CCAUUAUUCUGCUGACUGCAGUACUGUAGAGCAUAAAGUUUCUUAUCCACACUGUUUCUUAGUUCAGUCUGUCAAUAUCACUACUCCACGAUUAUUGUUGUUUGUUUUUCUUUCUCCCUGUCUUUUACCUCAAAAAUCUCUAUUGUGAUGCCAGAGAGACCUUUCUGAAACCUCUCCUUUUUUCUGUGUUUAAAACCCCCCAGUGCCGCCCAUGAAAUACACAGCAAAGUCCAAACUCCUUAUCUUGCUUGGAUCCUCCUUUCCACCCUUUUUAACUGUUCAGCCAUAUUUCUCCAUGUACUUCUGAGAUUGGAACCCAGGGCAACAAAGCUAAUGUGGGUUCUCCAAGAUUAACACAACUGAAAGGAGGCCCCUUUAUGCCAUCUAUUCUAGGUCCCUUGGAAUAUAAUUAAAAACAGGAAUUUCAACAUUGAAAUGUAAUGAUGUUCAGGUAAGGGCAGUAAGGUACAUUGACUUGAGUCAAUCUCCCACCAUGUCUGGGGACUGGGACAGCUGAGCCAGGGGUCCUACCUAAGGGUCAGGCCUGUGUCUUCACUUCUCCUUUCAACCCUUUACUUCUUCCAGAGUUGAACGGCUUACUUUCCUUCUCUCACUAGGCCAUUUCAUGGCUUGUGUUUGCCUGAAAUACAACUCUUUCCCUCCCUGGUCUACACCUGCUCACCCUGAAAGAAAUACCUCUGAGCCCACUUUCUUUCUUGGAAGCAUUUUAUGACUCUUAUUUCUGUUAUCAACACAGCUUUUAUUUAUGUCUCCAUGUAUCCUUUGAAGAAACACAACUUUUCAGGUUCUAUGUUUUAUUUGCAUUCUUAGUGUCUGGCACAUUGUCUGACACAGUGUAAAAGCUGAGUAGAAUUUUGCCUGAUAGCAGAUGUGCCUGAAGUGAGGGUGUCCAAAAUUUCAUUAAAUGACGACUGCUUUAAUAUGAAUUCUUGGCUAAGGCAGGAGAAUCGCUUGAACCCAGGAGGCAGAGGUUGCAGUGAGCCGAGAUCACACCACUGCACUCCAGCCUGUAAUGUCUUACAAUAACAGAAUGCAGGAGAGCACAUAUCAAUGAAGAAAAGACAAAAUGUACUUAUCCAUGAAGCUGAGGUUAAGAAACCAGUGUCUUCAAGAGCCAGGGACAGCACUGGGUCUGUGCAGAGUUGAGAGAUGGUGAUGACAUGUGGUUUCCAGCAUUCUUGGCCCAGUCUGGGAUUCUACUCUUUUGUAGUGACAGAGCUCCUUGCUGCUCAAAUUUUAUGCCAGAUAAAAUAUUCACCUUCUCGGACUCCCUGGCACCAGGCAUGGCCAUGUAAUCCUACAGCACAGCUGAUGAAAGAGAAGACAUCUUGCUGCUAUUUGACAAGCAAGAAGAUAAAAGCUUUCCUAUAAAGAUGAUGGAGCAAAAAAAUAGAAGGGGCCUAGACUCCCUACCUUCACACUUCCUGCUAUAAAAGCAUUGCUAUUAUAAGGUUAAUCUGCAGAAACAGACUUCUAUGUCAUAUGCUUAAAUGCAUCAAAAUUCAUACAAUAUCCAUUAAAUUGGUAAAAGUAUCCAUUUUAAAGGAUUAAUCUGAGGGACCCACAGACACUUAACACAAUCAAAUCUCAGAAAAAAAAUCAGUUAUUUCAUUGUGAUUUUGAGGCUGAUCUUUUAUGAUCUUUUAGUUAUCAAACUGUUAAAUACAUUUUAACUUUCAAAUUUUAUGAAUAAAGGAGAUGAAUCCUGUUAUUUUCUCAGUGUGAGUGUGAUGAUGUGUGUCAUAUGUGCCUAUGUAUGCACACACAUGUACUCAAGGAGCCUGAAAGGGACCAUGACUUUCUGGGCACUCAAUGCUACUUAUCUCUAACUCCUCCUUCAAAUGUCCCCAUUCUAAGUCUACUUCCUUAGGGAAUAGGUACAAAUAUAUCCCAUUAAACAUGAUUUAAGGAUGUAUUUAUUUUAAACUUGUCAUCACUGGUGGUUGGAGUGUGUGUGUGUGUGUGUGUGUGUGUGUGAAUUCUGACUCAUUUAUUUUAUCUGAUGGUAAGAUACCCUAUUGAAGAGAUAUUUAUUUAUAGAGCCAAACAAUGAGCUUCUUUCUCACUCUUGGACUUCUGCUCUAGCUGUCAGCCACUCUGAAUAUAGAGAACAAUUAAUAGCCAGUGAUCUUUAAUUUGGGAGGGAGAGUAAUAUAACCAUUUCACAUAUUAGUAAUUUAAGCCCUAAAGUGACAUUUUUGUACAAAGUCAGUGCAGAUGCUGUCUGCCUUGAUAAUAAAAAUGGUCACUUUAAAUAUCACGUAAGCCACCCCAUCACAUCAUCUCAUUGAAAUGAAGGAAGAUGAAAAGUUACUGAGUCAAAACAAUACUUGAAGGAAAACAACUUCUCAAAGUCUGGAAGCUGUUUCCAUGGGAACUGGCUGGACUGAUAAAUAAUUGGAGGCCUUUGCAUAUAUUGUCCCUUAAAUGUGAGCAGCACUUGGGAGGAAGAAGGCUGAACAAGGCUGCAUUUUU